rnacentral:rRNA from 1 species
AUGCUUUACACAUGCAAGUCGAACGCUGAAGCUCCAGCUUGCUGGGGUGGAUGAGUGGCGAACGGGUGAGUAACACGUGAGUAACCUUCCCUUGACUCUGGGAUAAGCCCGGGAAACUGGGUCUAAUACCGGAUACGACCUCCUAUCGCAUGGUGGGGGGUGGAAAGAUUUAUCGGUUUUGGAUGGACUCGCGGCCUAUCAGCUUGUUGGUGAGGUAAUGGCUCACCAAGGCGACGACGGGUAGCCGGCCUGAGAGGGUGACCGGCCACACUGGGACUGAGACACGGCCCAGACUCCUACGGGAGGCAGCAGUGGGGAAUAUUGCACAAUGGGCGCAAGCCUGAUGCAGCGACGCCGCGUGAGGGAUGACGGCCUUCGGGUUGUAAACCUCUUUCAGUAGGGAAGAAGCUUUCGGGUGACGGUACCUGCAGAAGAAGCGCCGGCUAACUACGUGCCAGCAGCCGCGGUAAUACGUAGGGCGCGAGCGUUAUCCGGAAUUAUUGGGCGUAAAGAGCUCGUAGGCGGUUUGUCGCGUCUGCCGUGAAAGUCCGGGGCUUAACCCCGGAUCUGCGGUGGGUACGGGCAGACUAGAGUGCAGUAGGGGAGACCGGAAUUCCUGGUGUAGCGGUGAAAUGCGCAGAUAUCAGGAGGAACACCGAUGGCGAAGGCAGGUCUCUGGGCUGUUACUGACGCUGAGGAGCGAAAGCAUGGGGAGCGAACAGGAUUAGAUACCCUGGUAGUCCAUGCCGUAAACGUUGGGCACUAGGUGU